rnacentral:rRNA from 1 species
AGAGUUUGAUCAUGGCUCAGGAUGAACGCUAGCGGCAGGCUUAAUACAUGCAAGUCGAGGGGCAGCGCGGGUAGCAAUACCUGGCGGCGACCGGCAAACGGGUGCGGAACACGUACGCAACCUUCCUUUAAGUGGGGGAUAGCCCAGGGAAACUUGGAUUAAUACCUCGUAAUAUGAUUGGGUGGCAUCACUUGAUCAUU